rnacentral:rRNA from 1 species
UACGGAGGGUGCAAGCGUUAAUCGGAAUUACUGGGCGUAAAGCGAGUGUAGGCGGCUGCAUAAGUCGGAUGUGAAAGCCCUGGGCUUAACCUGGGAACUGCAUUCGAUACUGUGCGGCUAGAGUCUGAUAGAGGGAAGUGGAAUUCCAGGUGUGGCGGUGAAAUGCGUAGAUAUCUGGAGGAACAUCAGUGGCGAAGGCGGCUUCCUGGAUCAAGACUGACGCUGAGGCUCGAAAGCGUGGGGAGCAAACAGG